rnacentral:lncRNA from 1 species
GAAAGAGAGAGAAGUCAGUUCCAGGAGAAGAUUCACAGUGCUCGCGCGCCUGUUCUAUGAGUGUGAUGACAGAGCGAUAGGACCGACCCACGGGUCACACCAUUUGACAGAACACUGGCGUGCCACUCCGCCAGUUCUACGGCUUUUUCCAAUCCCUAGGGGGAAGACCUCUACAAAGCUCCGGAUGCGAGCACAAAUCGAAUCCCGUCCAGCAGCCGAUGCCGCCCAGCAGCCGUUAUACCGUUCAUGUAAACCACGCGGCAGCGCAGCAAGACGAAAACGGAGGGGGGAAGCACACGAAAACACACAGCAGCACACACACACACACACACAGGCACGCGGCACGCGUCAAGCGGGUAAAGGCGGGGGUACACUCACUCCGCGGGGGCUCCGGGCACGUCGUACUGGAUGAUGGUCGUGACAUUGGGGAAAUCAAGUCCUCGGGCUGCCACAUCCGUACACAGCAGUACACCGUCACCGUCCUGUGGUUUUACAAACCACCACACCGAGGCGGAGGGGGAGGGGGAGGGGGAGUUCCAGCCCGAUGCAUGUGUACGUAUACAUGUUUGUGUGGAGGUGUGCAUAUGUAGAUUUGUGGGACAGGGGGGUCGUAUCUUCACCCUGCGGCCGCUACCCGGCGAAACCCUGCCUUCCCCGGUAUUUCGGGGCACCCUCAUCCAGUCACCCUAGUCAACUUCUCAGUGGAUCGCUCAGGUUCCGCACCCACCACCAGCAUCCAACGGAAUCUGCCGGGUCGACAGCGGCUCAACUCCAUUCCUGGUCGGCUCGCAGGUCUACUACCCCCAUUACGGUCCCCCCUUACUCCCCCCCCACUGCCACCCACUUGUGAAAACCCCGCAAACGUCUCGGUCCGUUGCGCCUGUUGCAUGUCUCCGUGCAGCUUGAACAGCCGUACAGACCGGGGCAGCAGCGCCGCGCCCGCCGCCGCCUCCCACAUGUCCCCCAGCAGGUAGUGCAGGAACUCCACCUCAUCGCAGGAAGCCACGAACACCACCGCCUUGCUACCGCCGACACGACGGCGGGCAGCACGGUUUCGGAGCAACGCCGCCAGCGCCAUCAAACGCUCCUUAGCUGGCACCUCCAUCCAGCAUUGCCGCAGCGAGGCGGGCAGGCUGUAGUGGGAAAGUGGGUCGUCGCCGCCGCCGACGGCGGCGGCAGUAGCAGCCCCGCCGCUGCCGCCGCUUGCAAGCAGCUGUAGCCCAGCGCCGGUCUGUUGUACGGUUGUGUACGGCAGAAGGUCAGGAGGCGAGAGGGUAGUGUGUUUCGGGGGAGGCGUGUGGUGUGCGGGGGGCCGACUGUCGCACGUGGGGAGGAGCAUGAGCGGAGCAGUGGGGGAGGUGGGAGAAGAUUUCUUCUCCUCUUUUCCCUUCGUCAAUGUUUGAUGUACGUGUUUAUGUACCCGUACGUAGUAUGCAGAUGAUGAGUCUCAUACUCCGAAUAUAUUCUCAUCCUGAGUCGCAAACCGAGAGCGUGCAAACAAACCUACACACAACAUACAUUUACACGGACGCAUGCCGUACACCCGUACAGCCUUAAAAACCCCGAAAGUUUGAAGACAUACCGAGAAACACACACACACAUACAAACACACACACACACACACACGCGCGUACACACAUACACACGCUGUCCACAACCCCCGUAGGAAAGUCCAAGCCCCCCCCGCCCUCCCCACACCACCCCAAACUUCGGACGCGCAUAACUCUUUAACAGCCGUACAACACAGCUCCAAAGUGCUCACUCUCGGAGCUCUCUGCCGUUUCAAAUCCUGAUGGGCCUACCCCUGAUGUAUCUCACACCCACCCUCACCCACCCACACCCACCCACCCACCCACCCACACCAAGUACACCUUCUCCCUUCCCCGGAAUGAAUCAGACGGAAAGCCAGNNNNNNNNNNNNNNNNNNNNNNNNNNNNNNNNNNNNNNNNNNNNNNNNNNNNNNNNNNNNNNNNNNNNNNNNNNNNNNNNNNNNNNNNNNNNNNNNNNNNNNNNNNNNNNNNNNNNNNNNNNNNNNNNNNNNNNNNNNNNNNNNCUGGCUCCGCCACCGCCUCCGUCGUCUUUCUGUUCCUCCUCCUCGCCCUCACUCUUUCCCGAUAUCCCAAUCUCCUCCUCCUGCUCUUUCUCCUCCUCCUCCUCCUCGUCGUCGCCGUCGUCGUCCUGAUGCCGUUGGCUACGACACCCAUCUUCCCCGGCUGUGCCCCUCCCCCCCCUGUUCCCCCCAGCUCCCCCGCUGGGGUUGUUCUUAGGGUUGGCAGCCCCGGAGGCCACACACCCCGUCGGGCUCCCCGCUGCCCCUGCCGCGGACCGCUGGUUGAGCAGCUCCGUAAUUUGUCGGAGCUUGGCCUCGAACCCGAGAUCUAGCAGGCGAUCGGCCUCGUCCAGAACCAGCCAGCGGAGCUCAGCUGCGUGUGUGUUUGUGGGUUUGUACAUGUGUAUGUGGGGGGGUGGGGGAGGAGAGAUAGUGCGGGUUGUUGUCGGAGGGGCAAUGCGCAGUGGUGGUGUGUAUUUGUGGACGGACAUCAAGAACGAAUUAGCAAGGAAAAACAUAUAAAUAUGCAAAAAUUGUAAUAUUUCUGCGAUAAUUUUUUUACAAAAAUACUAUACAUAUUAUUUUUAAUAUUAUGUUGUAUAUGAAACAAGUUACAGUGCAGCUGAUGGGUAAGAGUCCGUAUUAACAGCGGCGCAUGUUCCCCCCUCCCCCUCCCCCUCCCCCUCCCCCUCAAACCUUCCCCAUAUCCCCCUCUUUUCCCACCCCACCCCCAAACCCCCCUAACUCUCCUUCCCCCCCAAAAACACACACAUACACACACACACCCCACCGCUCACACGUUCUAAAGGACGCCGUCUUCUCCAGGUGGUCCAGCAGCCUCCCCGGACUGGCAACCAGCACCGCCACACCCUUCCGCAGUCGUGCCUUCUCAUGCUGCCGGUUCUCCCCUCCGAUGACUAGCCCCGAAACCAGCCAGUGGUAGCGCUUCAGGAGGGCAGCUGCCACGUCGAACACCUGCAGCGACAGCUCCCGAGUGGGCGCCAGGAUGAGGGCGAAGGUGCCCUCGCCGCGGCUGAUACGGGGCUGCUGGGCCUGAGCGGAUGGAGGGGGGUAGGGUAGGGAUAUCCUUCUUAUUGUUACUAUUAUUGUUAUUGUUACUAUUGUAUUGAGAAAAUGACACAAAAUGAUAGAAUGGACAGAAAUGGAAGUCGAGGGAGAAGUAGGUUUGUAACAUCAAGCGUGGUGGGGAUAUGAGGAGGGGCGGAUGUACGUACGAUGCAAAAAUUUUGGCGGCUACGCAAAAAGAUCAACUGCCAACCCCCCAACCCCCGCUGUGCGCACUGUCGAACGUCGAAGCCGCGGAGCUGCAACAGCCCCGAAAAAAGAUUCAGAAGGAACACACUUGGCACACACACUAGGUUGCUUUGUCAUCUGCGCUGAUGCUCCCCCCCCAGUUCCCCGUCCCCACCGCCCCACCGCCCGCCACGACUCUGUGUGUAACCCACACGGCCCCCCUCCCCUCCCCUNNNNNNNNNNNNNNNNNNNNNNNNNNNNNNNNNNNNNNNNNNNNNNNNNNNNNNNNNNNNNNNNNNNNNNNNNNNNNNNNNNNNNNNNNNNNNNNNNNNNNNNUAUAUACCCCCCCCCUUCAUGCCUGCAGGUCGUUGAUGAUGGGCAGCAGGUAGCUCAACGUCUUGCCGGAACCGGUCUGUGCGCGGACCAGGGCAUCUCGCCCCGCCAGCAGCACAGGCAACACCGAUUUCUGAAUUGCGGUGGGAGUCGUGAAACCCAAGGUGCCUAGCUGCUGAACGAGCGAAUCUGCCAGCCCGAGAGAAGCCCACUCCUCGCCGCCGCCGCCGCCGCCGCCGGCAGUGGCGGCGACGGCGGCGGCGUUAGCUCCAUUCGCGUUGACGGCGGCGUGUACGAGACUUCCCGGGAUGUAGUUGCCGCGGCCUGUAGCCUUGGGGCCGCCGCCGCCGCCGCCGUCAGGGCCGUUGAGCCGGCGGCGCUUGUAUCCGCCGCCGCCAUCAUCAGCAUCAUCGUCGAAUUCGACGACACCCUCUCGUUCCUGUCGGCGUCAUUUGUGCAGAGAGGCGUUGUACGGGCUGUGUGAGUCGCAGGCUGUGUGGAUGAUCUCUUCUUUUGACGCCAUCUGUACGACCAUCUGUACGACCGUCAGACCUUUCUGUUUCAUGCAGACCACCGAGGUGCUGUUGGUGGCAGCGGGGCAUGGGGCUACCCCUCCCCCCACCCAUGGCCACACAUCAUCACACCACCUCACAACGCCAUCACCAACGCCAUCAUCAUCAUCAUUGAUAGCACCAUUAUUACCAGCUCCUUCGUCAACACUGAAGGACCUCUCCCAUCAUGUCGUAGAUCCCGUAGGCGCUCAAACCCAGUCCAGGGAGUCACUCACCGCCGCCGGCGCCCUGGCCGCUUUUCCCCCUUCCCCCCUGGAUUCCGCCGCUUUAAGCUCCUCCCUCUGUAGCUCAGCCUCCCGCUGGGCCACUAGCGACAUAGCGGCACGCAGGUCGUCUUCGUGCUCGUCCUCCGGUUCCGGAGCCCGCAUAAGCUCAUCUGGGUCAUCUGGGUCGGUGCCUCUGCCGCCGGCUGAAGGGAAGGAGAAAUGAAAGAGGAAGAGGAAAGGGGAAGGAAGGAGGUCGUGCCGGACGGGAAUGUAAUGGCCAGGGUUGUCAUGAGUGAUGGAAAGCAAAGGUACUCUCUCGAGUGAUCUAAGCAAAUUAAGGUCACAUGCGCUUUAACUGGGAGAGGCAUCCUUAUGAAGCUGGCCAGCCCGAGGGACGCUUCCCUCUGGAUUGCAAGCAGCUGCAGCCCACCUGACCGCUUGAAGCGCUCCUUUCCGGGUUUUUGCUGGACACGUUCGGAGUGGCCUUUUGUGGCUUUGGAUUGUUUUGGAGCCUGGCGUGGCUGCUUGGCUUGACUAGGUAACUUCAGGUCGCGGCCGAUGGAUUGCUGUUGGCGGAUGUUGUUUGACUUGCCGCCGUUCUGCUGAGGAUCUUGCGCCUUGCCUCCAGGACUGCGCCCUUGACGCUGGUUACCUGCGGCCGGCUUCUCGGCGGGCUUGGCGCUGUCGCCAUGCCGUUUCGCGCCGCCGUCCUUUCCAGGACGGGCAGCUGCCGUUGUCUUGCUUGCACGUGGUUUAGCGGCUGUCACAGCUAUAUUCAGCUCUAACUCGUCAUCCAUAGUUUAAUCGCUUGAUACCCUUUCGUUAAGCUAGGGUUAGUUAACUGACCAUGUUCAUUUGCCGCUGGAGUCCAAACAAAGAAUGACUUCAGUUUAUUACUAUAACAAGCAUAUCAAUAUUAUGAUGAAUUGUACAAGGCUUCGCGACUUCGAACAUAGCGGUCGUUAGAUGGUAUCUUUGCAAGGCGAAGUUAGGGCAAAGCAACGCCAGUCACCAGGUUUCAGCAUACACAAUAAUAUAUGGCAUAAUGUUUUAGCAUUUCUUGGACGUAACUGAUUACUUUGCAGAGAAAUACAUGGCUUCCAAAAAUGACCGCGACCCGACGGGUCAUCCCCGCGGAGAGCCGGUGCUCUCAGGCAACACCUCCGUGGCGUCAGACAUCCAAAUAGAUCCAACAAACCAAGACCUGGAGGCCCUGGCACCCCCAUGGUGCGUCUUGCAUCCGAAUCAUCAUUCCGCACAACUUUCUGUCGCCGCGAAAACUCCAUCACCUGCUUAUUAAAAGGAGUCCAUGCGCUCUGAUGCGGCGAAGAUUUUACAUAACAUCCUCACGCAAGCUAUGUCAUCCCUCAAAACUCAUACCAGGAUGGAUUUUUGCGAUCACUUUUCCGGUUUGCAUCUUAACGACUUUUCAACGCAGGCAGCGCCACGUCAGCGACCUAGGGGGUUCUUUCCGCUUUCCAGUCAUGGCUGCAACCGCAGCCACCUCAGGCCCGUCAGGCAGUCGCCAACAGCCCCAAUCCACAUCCCACUCCGCUAUAUCCGAUGGAAACCCUAUGGAGGAAAAUGAAGGCGGCGCACAGGCAGUUGCAGCAGCAGCAGCAGGAGCAGCAGCGGCGGCGGCGGCAGUAGCCACGGCGGUGGUGUCGGAGGCUGAGGAAAGAGACACAGGGCCGCCGCGCACCUUAACAGCCCGCGGCGGCGGCGGCGGCGGCCUCACCUCAUUUCAGGCGCCCGCCCAGAGCGUUGCUCCGGAACCAGCACUAGGACAGGGGAGUUCCAGUACGGCAGCCGGCCCAGCCGCCGCUUUGACGGGCGACCCGACUGGCGGCAGUUUAGCAGCUGGGUUGAGUACGGCACUAACUGACACCUGGGAUGUGGAUGUGGAGGUCUGUGGGACGAUGAUGAUGAUGAUGCCGCCGCCGUCACCUGCAUUCCAACCGCCGCCGCCGUCGCAUGCCGUACACCGGCGCCACAUCAGCUCCCAUGGCGGCAGCGGGCGCGGCGUUCCGCCGUCACCUCCUUUCGGCGGGGUGGCGACCUCCCAACCACGAUUGCCUGCGCCAGCUGUCGCCGCAUGUACGACGAGACUUGUACGGAUUCCGACGAGUGCAAACCCGCCACGACGCGCCACGACGGCUACAGGCACCUCACCUGUCGCUGACCUUAUGUCCCCCAGCCGCGCGGGUGCUGAUGGCCAACCACCGCAACUGCCGUUACAACCGCCGCUGCAACCGCCGCCCCAGCAGCAGCACGUCAUCCCAGCUCGCUCGGGGCCCCUGCGACGCCGUACAGGUAACCAGGCAGGGCCGCUGCAACCGCCACCGUUACAGCAGCAGCAGCAGCAGCAGCAGCAGCAACAACAACAGCAAACGGUACGACAGAGCACGGGAUGGCUGCAAUGGCCCCGAAACCGUACGACAGGGUCCGCGCAGCAGGAUUUGGAAUUCACUUCUCACCGUCUUUCUCCGCCUAGGGUUUCAUCACACACGCAGGGGGGAGCAUCGCUAUCUUUGCGACGAUUCAGCAGUGGCGGCGGCGGUAGCAGAGGCGGAAGGUUCGCCACCGGCGAUGCCGUACGGAGUUCAUCGAGUUGCGGCGCGCUGUGGGAGGUGGACGAGACUCACCGGCACUCCUGGGGCUCGUACGACGGCGGCGGUGCCGGCGGCAGUGGAUAUGGCAACAGGUACGGCAAUCCGUACGGCGCCGAUGAGGGUGCGGAGGAUGCUCAGCGGGGCUCAUGGGGCUCCGACGAUGCCGCUGGGACCGUGUACGGCAGCUAUCGCUGUGGCGGCGGCGCCGCCGUGGCGAGGUCUGGCGGCGGUGCGCCGCCGCGGCCGCUGGUCUCAAGCGCCGCUGGCGGCCCCAGCCCCGCCCUUCCCACCCCGCCAGCCCCCCAUGCCGCCGAGGUCCCCGCCGCCGGGCCCCUGGCUGGCUCUGUGGUGGCGAGGCAGCGAUGGCGGCGGGCGGUGGCGGCGGUGGGGGAAGUACGGCGCCUGCACCGCAGCGCACAGACGCUGGCGGACAAACACUCGCUGCCAGCAGGUGCGUGCAGUUAAUGGUUGGGGAUGUUGGGUAAGAGUCGCUAACGUCAACCAACGUUGACUGAAGUUGGUGGUAAGCGUUAACUGAUUAUCAACCGUUCGGUCAAGGAGAGGGGCAGCAGCAGCUGUAGCAUUGCCCGUCCCUGCCCCCACAGCCUCUCGCUCAUAUUAUAUACAUUCAUUAUAUUUAUGUAACUACACACAGAGACACACUUGUCGUACAGGCAGGGCCUUAUGGUUUGGUUUGUUGAGGUGAUGCGCACACGUGUGUUGGCUUUCUGGAUACGGACUGAUGGACACACACACACGCACACGCAGCUGCAACACACAUACCCUUUUGCCCCUCGUAAUGGCUCCUUGCCUUAUGUAUCUGUCCGUCCGUCUGUCCGUCUGUCCGUCUGUCCGUCUGUCCGUCCGUCCGUCUGUCCGUCUGUCCGUCUGUCCGUCUGUCCGUCUGUCCGUCUGUCCGUCUGCCCGUCUGCCCGUCUGUCUGUCUGUCUGUCUGUCUGUCUGUCUGUCCGUCUGUCUGUCUGUCUGUCUGUCUGUCUGUCUGUCUGUCUGUCUGUCUGUCUGUCUGCAUGUCCGUUGGCCUGUUAUGAUCCCCCCCCAUGUCAACCAACCAUUGCCUCACUCCGAUAAAUACCCCACUUGCGUGAGACCCUAGGGUCCUCUCCCCAAGCUCUUAGAAAACAUUAUUUCCACAACAACCAUAUCAACCAACACAACCACCACAACCACCACAACCACAUCGUUUCCCGCCCUCCUCGGCAGCCUGGAUCGGUGCUUUGGACGUCGUCUCUUUGCUCUUUGCCCAACCCCCUUCUCUCCCCCCCAACACCUUCUUUCCUUGGCAGCAGCAGCUUCACUCGGGUUCGUGGUUCGUCUUUCCCCCACUUCUCACGUCGCUGGGUCAUGGAUGUUUACCAUGUUUACCACGACAUCCGUGCAAAAAAACCAAACACAAAGAACACGCCCCCCCACCCCCCUUCUGUCAACCCCAACCCACAGACCGGUUAUUUGCGGCCCUCACCCUCGCCCUCCAACGCCACAACUGGGCCCAGAUCAUGUCACCGACACACAACCCGCACCGCACACUGCUAAGACAUUACGUGGAUAAGAAGCUUGCGGGGCAGUGGGGCAGCUGGUGGGAGAGGUUGGAGGCGGGUGAGACACGGAGACACCCCUCUUCUGUGUCUGUCUGUGUGUCUGCCUGUGUGUCUGCCUGUGUCUCUGUCUGUCUGUGUGUCUGUCUGUGUGUGUAUGGGGGUAGAGGCGACAUGCCAGGGCGUCAGGUACGGUGAAUGUUGCAAGGGAGGGGAAAGCGGGAGGGGGGGAGGGAGGGGAGAGAGUGUGUGUGUGUGUGUGUGUGGUGCGGGAAGGGCCCGGGGGGAAGGGCAUCCGGGCGGCAGAUCCCGCGGCCUCCGGUGGCCUCCGUCUGCCCCCCCCCCCCUCCAGUGCAUCCGCCACUCACCCGGACGGGACGUCGCAGGGCUGGGUCGCGUGGCCGCCCGUAUCGGUGUGUAUUGGUGUAUUGCUGACGGCGUUGGAGCCCCGGCGGAGUAGGCGGUAGGCCCGGGGGGCGGUAAGCAGCAGCGAGGAGGUCGGUUCCCUCUGGGGGCCCUUUUUGAGCUCGAAGAGGACCAUUCCUCCUGAAAUUUCCGCGGCUUGACCUCAGUCCCUUUUCUCGUAUUGUUGCUGGUCCUCCAUGUUGCCGUACGUAUGUCGUUACAGGGUGGUAUAGCUUCUCCAGCGGCCCCCUUUCCCUUGGAGGCAGUUCCCUGCUCUCCCCUGCGAGAGGGGCACCCUAUAACCCAUUCACCCCGUCCGACUUCAGAAUGUAUUCGCUGGCUUCAGCAACUCACCACCAGCAUCCAACCAAAUCUAGCGGAUUAACGGCACCUCAACUUAGUUCCUGGUCAGCUCGCAAGUUGAUGUUAUCACGUCCUACACCGUCCAUAAGGUGGGGGGCCACCUCCCAUUUCAACACUUCUCAAAUACCCGAGAAGUCGGCAGGCGGAUUUGAACCCAGGCACCCCGGGAGCAGAUGUCAGGCCUUAACCUCUGCCAGCCGCCUGCGUACGUAUGUAUUCAUGUGUGCAUGUGCGGUAUGUUGUGUUUUCAUCGAUGCCCCUUCUCAAUGCCCCCUUGCUCCCCCUUGCCUCCUCCCUCCCUCCUCCCCCCCCCCCUUCCGAAGAGUUCAUUAUCACGGGAACCAUCGUGUUUGACUGGUAAGUCGGCCAGCCUGUCAGUCAGUCUGUGAAGGCAUAAGUAAUAAAUAAGUAAUAAAUAAGUAAUAAUAUAUAAUAUAUAAAAUAAAAUAAUAAAAAUAAAUAAAAAUAAAAAAUAGGAGCAGCGCGGCUCUGUCCGCCGGUGAAACGUCCCCUUUUUAUGCCAGGAGACAACGCAAUUUAGAAUUAAUACGCCUGCCUGCAUGCGGGCCCACUUUUGUAUAUAUGUGUGUGUGUGUCUCGGCGUGUGUGCGUGUGUCUGUUUUUAUAUGUGUGUAUUUUCCCCGGGGGGCCGCAGGUGUACCCCCGCACGGCUUGGGGAGCACUGGCCGCUGUUCACGGGGACCUUCCUGCUGACGGCGGGGCUGCUGUUCGCCUUCAUGGCGGGCCAGUUUCCGUACUUUGCUGCGCUGGAGGCGGCGGCGGCGGCGGGGGGGGCCUGCAGCGAGCAGCUGGCGGCGGCUGCGGGUGCGGGUGCGGCCAAGGACGUGGCGGACAAAUGGCCGGCGGGCACGGGGAAGAGGUGGGAGACGGGAGAUCCGUACGACGUUAAAACCCAUGAAAACCCUAAAAAGCCCUCCACCAUGGGGUGGGUUUAACCUUUUUCCUGUUUCCUUUUUUUCCUGUCCCGCGGUGUUGCAGCUGGUCGGCGUGCUUCCUGACAGCCCACAGCGGUCCUAGGUUCCUGGGGGACGUGGUGCUGCAGGCCCCCGGCAGCGAGCCCGCCACCACCUUCAGCGACGGAUUCCUCCGGGCCUGGGGCGGGCUGUAUGCCCCGGAUGUGCAGCGGGGGCAGGUGUACCGGUGAGUGUGUGGAUUUCUUACCUGGCCUGAACGCUGGAUGAGGGGGGGGGUGAGGGGGAGAAGGGGAGAAGGGCGCAGGGGGAAGCGGGUUGCAGCAGGGGCGUGGUAGUAGGAGGGGUUGCAUCGAGGGAGGGGGGGGGCAAGUUAGUUUCUUUUUUUCGCGUAAAAGAUUAUAUGGCACCAAAAGGUCUUCACUCCCUUACAGAGUAACACCCCGGGAUGCAACCCCUUGGGAAAAUGGAUCUUCUGGUGCGCGGACGAGUGGGGGGGGGACCCAGAGGGGAGGGUGGGAAGGAUGGAAAGGGGGAAUGAAUUCGUGUUGCUAUCUGUCUAUCUGUUUGUCUGUAUGUAUGUUCCCCUGUCUACGCUGUGCGUGUUUUCUCUUUACAUGGAUGACACCACACCGGCAGGUGGCUAACCGGCCCGCUGCUGCACAUCACCUUCCGACAUGCCGCCGCCAACCUGGCAUUGACGGCGGCGCUGGGCUGGCAAAUGGAGGCGAAGUACGGCACCGUACGGGUGAUGACCGUUUGGUUGGCGGCGGUUGUGGGGGGGGAGUUGUUGAGUGUUGCUGUGGAGGACCCUUGUCGUCAGGUGGGGCUGGGUGUGUGUGUGUGUGUGGGGGGGUGAGGAUGAUGGGGGGUUGGGGGGUUAGGGAUCCUGUUGUACAAUGUCGUACUCUUGAUUGGUACGACGCUUGAUACGCGUGUCUACCGGGCGGGGGGGAAGGUGUGUGGGUAUGUGGGUAUGUGUGUGUGUGUGUGUGCGCGUCCCGAAGGAGGGGAUGGGGGAGGCGGGAACAUCACCUAUCAUGGAGAUCGUGUGUUUAGCUUCCCUUUGGGUUCAUCAUUUUCAAGUGUUUUUUUCAUCAUAUGGGUUAUAUGUCCUGGGGGACGUGACCUGUGUGAUAACGCUCCCUCUCUUCCCCCUCCUUAUUUUCGCAUACACAUUAUCGCACACAUAUUUCCCCCUUCCCCUUCUUUCUCCCCCUCCCCUUUUCCGGCCUUAUCUUCCGCUUUCACAUCAGUUCUUUAGGGCUUCUUAUUCCCUUUAGGGGGGUUCCCCAGCCUGCCAGCCUGCCAGCCUGCCAAACUCCUUUCAGCGGCACCGCAUGUGUCCUUUCCAUCAUCACUCGCUGCUCACAACUUUACCACCUCUCUGCCUCCUCGCGUGUGCCCUCCCUGCCCGCUGCUUCUGCUGCCUGGCCGCCAGGUGAGUCCGAGGAGGUUCGAGUGCUUUGUCGGUGAAUCGCGUUGCGUCGGUCGGUUAUAGCCGGGAUGGUUGGGUCGGUCGGGUCGGUCCGAGGGGUGUGUUUGGGGGGUUGGGAGGAGCACUUGCAUGCCACCGGCAGCUUUUCAUUACCAGCUUAUCAGCCAGUUUUGUCCAAACCUCAUCAAUGCCGCCGCCAGGCCGGCGGCAAAACUUUAUUCCAGCUCACGUCAUCCCUUUCCCUUCCCACCGGAGUUUUAUUAUUUUUUCGCCGCCUUUUUACACGCCUUACAUUUAGGGUGUAUUCCCAGUGCGGAUUAAGGCCAGGGAUUAGUAACCCUCUGUCCUCCAUCAAUACUUGCUCAAACGGCUAAGCUGUUGGCAAACUUACCUCGCCUUUCCAACCUCUUUGGUUCCCUUAUGGAACAAAACUAUGUGGUAAGCUCGUACCAAGGACUUCCGUGCCCUAAUCCCCGGGGCCUUCAUCCGCCCCGGGAUGCCCUUACCUACUUUUCUACGGCUUUUGACAUUACUGCGCUUUUUCCGCUCUUAUUUUAGCCUUGGCGACUAUAGGUAGGUAGUUUUCCGCUGUCGUCAUCACUCUACAUCAUCCCGAGGACGGCUCCUUCACAACCGCCGACUGGUCAGUUCUGCUAUAGGACGGUAGCACAUCCGCCGCAGCACUCUUUCCCCACUUGGCAGCAGCUUCACACUCGUUCGUGUGGUUCGUCUUUCCUCCUCCCCCCUCUUCCCCUCCCCACUCCCCUCCCCUCCCCCUUCCCCCCUCUUUCCCCCUCUUCCCCCGGGAUAUGUCCCCCCUCUGCACCGCCCCACACGCCCCAAGCUGGUGGGCUGCAGUGGCGGCGCGUUCGGGCUGCUGGGUUUGUUCUGCGCGGACACUUUGCUCCAUUUCUCCUCCCUCCGCCGGCCAAUACUCCGAUGCGCCACCAUCGCUGUGCUGUUGGGCUUCCUAGUCUACACGCUGGCCGUACAGCAAGUGAGGCACGGAGACACAUACGUACAUACGUACAUACAUACAUACACAUGCAGCAACAGCAACAGCAACAGCAGCAGCAGCAGCUCAAAAAGGAAAGUUAAAGCACUCACGUCUUGCACUCACGUCUUGCACUCACGAUCACGAGUCACGACUGGUAGCGACAUGCUAACGUUAGCCCGAGAUGAUCGCUCAGGGUUGGUAGCCGCUGAUGGUUCCUCUUUCUGCGAAAUAAAAAUUGCUGCUAUUACGAUUUUGCACAUGGCUUUGCUUCACAACAAUACUUCCCCCUCCUCCUCCCUCCCUCCCUCCCUCCCUUCCUUGACACAUACACACACACAAAACAUAAAAUGUGUUCAUAAUUUGUCAAAUAAACUCUCACAUGCUUUUAAAAAAUGUUUUUUAAAACACACACACACACACAUACGCACGUACAUACUCACAUACAUACAGGGCAACAUGUCCUCCAUGGCUCAUGUUGGCGGCCUGCUAUGCGGGCUGCUGCCAGCCCUGAUGGUGCUGCCGCGUCUGGGGUCAGAACAUUGGGAGGCGGCCUGGCCAGCCCUGGGGCUUCUGGCGGUGGUCGUGUGUUUUGCCGUACUGCCAGCCUGGGUCUACACACGGCGACUACCAGCAGCUGUCGUACAGUGCCUCCAACAAGCAUCGCGGCCGGCACCGGCGUUAACACGGUAGUUAGUUCCGUUGUUCCGGUUAGGUUCGCUGAUUCCGUGAUGUAAUGUGAGAGGGCGGCGUUAGGUACCGCGAAACUAUGUUUGUACGGAAAAUGUACGGAGCAAUGUUGAUGUGGGGCGUGGAGCGUAGUACGGCGACGGGCGACGCCAGCGACGGUUGGCAGUGGAAGAGGUUCCAGAGCGUGCUUGUGUGUAUCUACGUGUGUAUCUACUAUAUUACGUUACAUAUCGAUCCAGGGGCCUGACACUGGCCAGGGGGGGCACCUAGCCGUAUACCCCAACGGGAAUGAGCGACCCCCGAAGCACUUUCCAACUUAUGGGGCAGAAACACAAUCCACUAUGUGUAUAUAUGUGCAAACAAAAGAAUCCAACUGAAAAGGUAUAUGAUAUCAUCUACGACACCGAAACACGGCUUCAUCAGACACCCUUCCCAAGCUCCCCAACAGCCAGAAUUCAUUCCCUCCCCGUACAUUCGUACAUUCGUACAUUUCAUACUGUCGUAUGUAACCAACAACCUCGAAGAGCACCUUCGGUGUGAUAAUGAACUGACGAUGGCGCGGGUGAAGUAAUGCAACUAAUGUUGAUCACGAUGAUCCUGGACAUCCGGAUCAUGUGAAUGUCAGUGGCAGCUAAGGACAUGUAAGGAAUCCUUACCAUGGCGGAACCUACCUAGCGCUAGACAACCGAGGGUACUAGGAGUACAAGAUGACGUCCGCAAGGCAGCUGGGAGGCGACGAGGGAAUGGUAGGAUAGAGGUAUCGCAGGCAUGCGUGUGGUUCUUUUUGGUCAAUGCCACGCACGGAUCACAGAUGCUGGUUUGGUUUGGUUUCGGGGUUCGGGCAAAAGCAACGAGGCAGUGCAGCCAUGCCUGUACGAAUGCCUGUACAUCAGUACGACAAAGCUGCCGCCAUCGGCGCCAUCUCCACCCUGGCCCCCUCCCCCUCUAAGCGUAUCGGUGGUAUCUCACUUAGCUUCAGUUUAACUCAACAGGGACGUUGCUUUAUUUCUGCAAAGUACGACGAUUUCGCCCGACUGCCGUAGUACGGAAGUUUGCCACGCUAAGAGCACGUGUUUGCCUACGUACGAAGGUAAUGUCUGCUGGUACAAUGGAUUCGCGGGUUAGAGCGAGAUUAUUUCCAUCGCCGCCAUCGCCGCAGCUGUGACCGAGGAAUAAGUGUCCGUGUUUGGAUUUCCAAGCCGGCCUCAGCAUCAGGGGUAACCUUUACCCCUUCAUAAGGGCGGGUGGCAUCGCGCUCUGCGCUUCGUGCAUGAGAACAAAGAAGAAGGCAGUUUCUUCCCCUUCCCCUUCCCAGAACACAAAAACAUGAACAGGAUCAGGGCUAACGUUGUACACCCCUACACUGACUAUAGCGCAGCAGCAGACCUCGUGAAUGAGGGUCCUGCCUUCUUCCACGAGGCUUAGGACCUAAGAGCUACGUACAUCAAAGAUUCCCAGGCGCCUGUUGCCAUCGCCUCACUGUCCAACAGAGCUUCCCUUCACGAGGCUUUAUUUAUUAUAGCCUUGAAGCUAGGUCAAAAGGUAGUGCACACAAACAUGUCCUACUAAUACGUUCACCAUAGAUAAGACGUAUGGCGUGUCGUACACCGCUAUCAUACACAUCAACCGUUUUCCACUUGCCGUACGAAAGAUGUACCACCACGCCGAGCACCAUCACCACCACCGCCUUCACAUGUAGAGCUCACAAGGAGGUCACUGGGUUAUUACUCAAAUCAACCACAGGACAGAAAUCCCAAGAGCUCCCUCCGAAGCCCCGUGCGACCCAGUUCCAGAUCACCAAAACCGCGUGCUGUUCAGUAGACUUGCAUCAAAUGGGAUCCAUCUGGGUUUCGUACCCACACACAUGUCGCCACAAGGCAGGUAGGAAGCAUUUGCGACUUGCAACUCAGUUUCCGUGCCGUAGCAUUUUGCUCUCCAUCCUUACCUACUGGGGCACCACGGGCGUCGUUUCUCUGCCUCCUUCCCUUCUACGCGGUGCUGGCGGUGCUGGAUUGAUAAGUGGAUUGUUCCUAGCAGAUGGACGUGGACUGUCGCGGCGUGUGUGUUUUCCCAUUUCUGUCCCCUCCCCUCCCCUGUCACACAGAUUACACAAGCACGCAAGCUGCGGGAUUCCCAGAUAGGCUUUGCUUCUUCUCGGCACCUCCCCAUACCUGUGCAAAACCUCUGCGUGCAGCUUAUCGACGGUAUGUUUGAAAUAUCAGCCAGUUGAGAAGGAAAGCGCAAGAAGUUUACGGAAGCUUGCGACCAGAUGCCUGUGCCCCCAAUCCCCAAAAUCUUUGCAACCCUCUGCAAGAUGUAUGGUGCUGAUUAUUGCCUGCAGCCCUUGGGGCAAUAGCCGCAUUUUUUUCUUAAAGGCCCAUGUACCACCAUUUUGCAGAUACAUCUGCCGCAUUGUCGCAUUGCCGACUCGUUAUUUAACGUCUGUUUUAAGAGACCAUUGUGUUCAUCGUUUCCAUCACACGCUACACCCUCAAAAAUGUGGUAUACCUCAACAGCCAGCACCUGCAUAGCGAAUGCUGUACGACAGGGACACGGGCAAUAUCCUGCCUUCCUUUUGCGCAUUAUCCGCCUUAACUUCGGCACCGGGGAUUUUGCCUUGCAGACCUCCCUGCCUGCUGAUUUACUGGAAGAAAACCACUAUCCAUCAUCACCGUAACACGGCACGCCGUGUUUGUCAACACCUCUUCUUGGCAAGUGUGGUUUGUCGUGCAACAAGCCCUGUAGAGUCGGUCGCUCAUCGGAGUUGUUUAUCCGGUUUAUCCGGUGUCUGGUAGAUAUCCCCAAUCCACACAGUAGACGCCGGUGACGCCGGUGGCGAAGGGGCCACCAAAUGGUGCUCGAAUGGACUCGAAGGCCGAGAUGGAGUUCGGGGUUAUUAAGGGUUAGCGGAUCCGGAGGUGAUCCGUUACGGCGCCAUGCUGGCGGGCGGUGUUGAACGCCGCCACGGCAGUGGCAGCGCCGAAAGUCAGCGGCCGGGGCGGCAGCUGCGGCGCGACAGCAGGAAGCGGAGCAACCCAUGGGACACACCCCAUGGGGGGCCCCCCAACCAAAACACGCCCACAGCCCAAUCCGCUCGUCAGUCCGUCAGUCAGUCCGUCAGUCAGUCCGUCAGUCCGUCCGUCAGUUCUUCCACCCUACACAAGGUCAGUCCAGCUGCAACCGGACGCUCCUGUCCGCCAUAUCCAGCACGAACAAGUUACCCUUAUCCCCCCGGCUGAUCCGUAGUGUCUCGUCCAAGUACGUGACGGCCAACUCCCCUUGAGCGCCAUGUGUGCGAGGAAGGGGGGGAAGGGGGGGAAGACGGGGGCCAGAGAAGGGGGGGGAACAGGGGUGCACAUUGCAAAGAAAAAAACCAUUUCCUAAGAAGGAGAAAUGGAAGGAAGGAAGGAAGGGGAAACCGGCCCCAGCAGCAGCCCCCAGUUCCAUUGUGGAGCGCGAUGUCAACCCGCGAUAUCUCAUUUCAUGUUAUAGAAGUUUUCCUGAACAGCAUCCACCCGCACUUCCCACCAGCACCUAUACACAUCUCCCCUCUUCCUCCCCCCCUCCGGGGCCAGAUCCAGAUGCCGCGAUACCCUGUCGUACCUACAGCACUGGGCGGCGCGGUGACGGAAAUAAGGCCCAGUAUCUUAAAUGUACGGAACUGCACAGCCACUCGGUUGGAGCUCAGAGGGGACAGGUCAGCAGACACCUGCAUGUGUACCAUGAGAGGCAGGGGAUUGUACGAUAUGAAGCUCACAUUACGUACUUGCCGUUCGCGUCGUACAAUAGAAGCCAGGUACGCUGCACGUGCUCACGUAUGGGUACGGGAACGAUGGGGUUUGCCGGGAACGGGCCGCAGGACUGGAAGACCGACACCUUUGCGGGUUGGAGGUGAUUGGGGUGGGGGGGGCGGGUGAAAAGACUAACCACGAAGAGUGAAGCUGCUGCCAGGGCAAGAGUGUACCCGGGGUAGAGUAGAGUAGGGGGGAAGGGGGUUUCUCCACCAGGAGGGGUGAUUCCCCUUUUCCGCAAUAACGAUGACGAUGAUGUGCAGUUAUCGAUCCAUCCAUCCAUCCAUCCAUCUCGUGGCUCACCCCCUACCUCUCUUCCCUAUCUUCCCUUCCCUCCCUCCCUCCCUCCCUUCCUUCCUUCACCCUCCCUCCCUCCCUUCCUUCACCCCUCCCUCCCUCCCUUCCCUCCCUCCCUCCCUCCUCCCUCCCUCCCUUCCUUCCCUCCCCCUCCCUCCCUCCCCCCCUCACCUGAUUAAAGAAAGGCCACGUUUCGUUGUUCCGCGCUNUGAGUCGCUCCACAUCUGAAGAAACACACUCCAGAACGUGGGGGAGUUGGCACAGUACCACAAUGAAAUGGUUGGAUCACCAACUGGGCUCUUGCACGGAACUGAACUAAAGUAAACGGAACUAAUACCCCUCAAACAAACUGAACACGAGAGGCAGCCGACCUGCCGGCGCCCCUCCGCGGACAGUACCAUCACAACCGCCACGCAAAUGACUAACAGGGGACAUCAAGCCUUGUCUACACAAUUAACAACUCCUUUAACCACCCAACGAACAACUCCCUGAGCCAUAUGUCAAGCCAAGGAGGCACGCCCAAUCCCUUAGCCGCCUAGCCAUCCCUAGCUCGCCCGUACUUCACUUGCCCGGGCCCACCUAGGGUUUGGAAGAUAGGGCCCUGGGGCCGCAACGGAGGCGGCCUCGUGGCGCCCAGGAUGGAGGCGGAGGUGGUGUACAGCAGCCGCCACUUGCCGCUGAGCAGCUCCGGAGCCUUGAGAGGUUGGGGAGUUGGGUUCAGGCGCUCCAGGGUGCUAGCCAGGCGCUCCACUUCCGCCUUGUCAUCUGUGGGGAAAUGAAAAGGGAGACAGAAUCUCGGAAAAAUAAACGGGCUCGAAAGGUUAGGGGUCUGGGGUUAGCAAAGGUGCGGUGCCGCGUUGGGCUGUUGGCGGAAGGGGGCGCGCGUUUUCGACAGCUGUUGAUGGUGCACUGUCCCGGAAACGGGCAAGGGAAGACACAGUGUUCUGAGCGAUGGUUAGUAUGACGGUAAUAAUUUGGAGGUAUUGAAGAUGGUGGUAAAAGGAGCGGAGAUUGGUCGCGAAACAUACCGGCCGUUGCCGAUGCUCCGCGAUUAAGCCCUGAUAUGCGUUCCAAGAGUUGUUCCUUGGCUGCAAGCCGUUGUUCAAUUUUAUUAGAUUGGGAUGUCAGAAAGGAGAAAAUCCCUGCCUUGCAGGUCACUCGUGGCCGUGUGGUAGCGACGUGUGGGUGAGGCCGUGCAAGCGCCAUUUCGCUAAAACUCAGGUAAUGAUUUCAAAGAUAGCUGGUCGAUGCGGCACUUUCUCUAGCUUUAAACGAAGUGCUACUGAAGCAGGCUUCCAAGACAUUAUCGUAAGUUCCACAAAACGCACGUACGUCAAGUAGAGAACACUGGAGAAAGCACAUGAAGACCCUUAUGACAUUUUUAAAAAGUAUAAUUUGCCACAAAUACAUCAGGAAUAUUGCUUUUUCGCAGAGCAUGUUUGCAAUCCUAGGGCCAAUUAUCGUAGGCAAAAGAACAGUCCCUCCUGCCAAUACAAGGAAUGCGCACUGCAAUCAAAAAUCAGCACACGCAUCAUGUACCAAGCUGUGUCCCGAACUCCAUCUCAUAACAUAGCUUGCUGGACGCAAAUGUCCAGAGCGACCGGCCAGCUAGAGGCAACGCGAGAAAUCGAAACCGGAUUCUGCCAAUAAAACACACCGAAAUCAUUAACGAAAGAAAAAUAACGCCACAGACGCCAAGUUCUGGCAAAUCGACGUCCAUACGGCCCGUCUUUGACGCGCCCCUGCCUAGCCCUGGACCCCCCGAUGUAUUCGAUCCUUUCAGACGCUCCGAAGUACAUGACACACGAAACACACCACGAUACCAAUCUAGCACACUGUUUCGGCCCUUGAGGCCCCGAAUACGCACCUACCCCUCAAACCACCGACAUCGCACCCUCCCUCGGAGCAAUCUGCCUGUCCUUCUCCGUUACCCAAAAGCACGAGUGCGCAACAUCCCUUCUUGGUUUUACUUAUACAGUGUAGCACUCCCAAUGCUGCUACUGCCGGGGCGAGCGCACUGGACCCGGGAGAAGAGCAAAAACUUCCUCGCGGCGCACGAGCGGCCCAAAGCAACACAAGCAAGAACAUUAGUCUGGCACACCGCCAGCGUCCCCUUCCACCCCUCUUCCAGUCCGGCAUUCUUGCAGCUGCUACAGCCACCAAGCCAGGAAUUUUGCUACUGCCCUAGGACACGUUCUAGCAGGAACACGUUGCCCUUGUUGUCCCGACCCACACGCCAACAUCCCCCCUCCGCCGCCGCCGCCGCCGACCCGCCGACCCGCCCCCGGCCCACCUCCCCCACCACCAUCACGUCUCCUUCGCCCCCUCUCCCAGCAUUCCCGGAGGUAUUGAGAUCCACAAGAUCCAGGUACGUCAAAUCCAGGUAGCCCUCCGGAUUGAAAAUGGAGAGCAAAAGGUCUAAAUUGGCCUCGAAGAUUUUUUGAAGCUGGGUGGGGACCUGUAGGGGCGCAUCGAGAGGCGGGAGGGAAGGUGUGUGCAUGGGGGCUUGGGGAUUUUGUGCACACUCACCGCUGACACGCGUGUGUGUGCGUGUGAGACCAUGUGUGUGUUUUGGGGCCCUUGCGAGCUUGCGACUUGUAUCUUUGGGGGAUUGCUCCCCCGGGGGGUGUCGUGCUGGGGUUUGUUCAACAGUAAAAACACGUCCUGACAUUCACUCCCACUACUGUCUCCCCCCGCAAAAAAAAACCCAAACCUCAAACCCCCCUCUCCCCCCGACCCACCAAUGUGGAGUCCAGAUAAGUGAUCCCCACUCGCCGCUCCGAAACCACGUUGUAGUUGGCUCGGAUGGUGAGGAAACCCCGAAGGGAGGAAAACCCCGACACGGAGAACUCGAUGCGGUUCACCUGGGGCCCCAAGAUGGGGGUGGAGAGGUUUGCUUCAGGAGAGGGGUUGAGAUGGAGAGAGGGAAGAAGACGGCGAUGAUGGUGAUGGUGAUGAUGACGGUGAUGAUGGUGAUGGUGAUGAUGACGGUGAUGAUGGUGAUGGUGAUGGUAACAAUGGUAAUUUUGCAAAGGCCAAAACAAGUAACUGUCGAGGCCCAUUGCAUCCAUUACCAAAGCGGAAAUAAGGGAAGCACAGGUAAGCCGAUUGAACGUGAACACGUUCGGUAAACAAACACACAAACAAGCAGACAGACAGACAGACAGACAGACAAGUCGAUGCAGGGCGCGGUAAGGUGCACAAGGGACUGCUGGUAUGGAUGACCAUUCCAGGAACCUGUAGUCGCUAACACUCCCGCAAUACACACACAGACAAACAGACAAACAGAGGGGGUGUCGAAUGCUGGAGACACUGGGUUUUACUUCAGUGCGCUGGACAGCUGGGUUGGGAGUCCCAGGGGCCCAUGGGCACCGGUGUGAGUGCAUCGGUAGGCCGCGCAGCUGUAGAGGAUGCGCUUUCGGUGGAUUGGGGUUUAUUAGGCACCUGAGCUGGUGUAUGUAGCUGGCCUGAGGAUUCGAACAGGUGACGGCGCCUUGUUGUUGUUGGUAAGGGAGAACGGCAAGGAACCUCACCGAUAUAAGGCCCCUCCGAUGAUGGAGAGUGCUUCGGCGGUCGUUCCUUCCCGUUGGAGUAUACGGUUAAGCGCCCCUGGCCAACGUCAGGCCCGGAAUCGAUACGUAGUAGAUACAUACAGACACACACACACAGACAGACAAACCCUACCCGCGCCUCCGCUUCGCGCUUUACCUUGCCCCGGUGGGGGCCUACCUAACCUCUCUUCCAUCCCCCACAACCAAAAAUGCAUCACAUCUUAGACGACGUUUCCCACUUUCCUUCCCUUCCCCCCUCCUUUUCCCAAAAGUACGCAAUCUACAUCGCGGAGGGCCCCACACACACUCCACCCCCCCCCUACCGCCAGGUUAUUGGCCGUGUCGAUGUGUUGAAUAAACGCCCCCAGCUGCACGAACUCCCGAAGGCCCAGUUUAGUGCGCUUCGCGCCCUGAAGGCGGAUGUGCGGGUGAGUGGAUGGUAGGGUUUCAGACGGGUAUUUACGAGCGGGGAUUGGGUGGAGCCUGAUCUGGGUGGGCGGGUGAGUGGGCGGGGUAUCGAUAUGCAUACAUCUGGAGAUGUUAAAUUUGUACGUAAGCUGUCCCAAGGGUCAAGGAGGGUGGAGGUAGCAGCAGCAGCCGCAGCGGCAGCAGCAGCAGCAGUCGCUGAGAAAGGGUUUCGACCGCCUCUGCCAGACAUCUCACCGUGAUGGUGAUGGUAGAAUAAAGGAGUCGCCAGUCCCCUGCAACGGCUUCCAAGUUUGCGGUGGGCGCAGUCUGGGUGUUAUGCUUCUCCAGCUCGCUGAUGAGGGCCAGAAUGCGAGCUUUUUUGGCCGCCUGCACGAAUCCCGUCCCACCGCAACUCAGUUUACAGCUCUAAAUAUUUAAUUCCUUGUGCGCUGUAAAGCUCACCGGCACUCCAAAUAUGCCCCUAUCCAAACCCUCCAGCUCGCUCAACAGCUGUGCCUUUAUCUCUUGUGGACCGCUGGUCAACCCAGACAGAUCUGCGGUUGAGACUAUAGAUGAACAUAAUCCAUUAGAUGUUGAGCGCGCAGUGUAUUGCCGCCGGGCUGUGACGCGGACGCAUGGAGCGACGUGUGAGGCCUUAAAAGGCAAAGCCCGCUGACCGUGCAAUUGUCGCAUCUUUUCCGUCUAUGUCUAAGCAAAUGAAAAUUGCUCUUCAUUCCCCAUUUAGGAAAGCAAAUGUUCGUCGUGUACAGGACGGUUGGUGAAACGGCCAUAAUUGCAACUGUCCGUAUUGUGUGCAAAAUUGCAAUGUAACCUUGGCUUCGCGUUUCACCACGUCAAUAUCUUCACUUCUGCUUACCGCAGGCCAUUUCUGCUCAUUAUCGGAACCUCGAAGCGUGUGCGCAUACAUCGUUUUCCCUAAUUGUGUCGCAAUGUCAGCGUUUGAGGAGCUUGGCGUGAUGCCGGAGCUGGUGAAGGCCGUUGAAGAGCUUGGCUGGAUGUAAGAUCGCAACGGCGCACCCCUUUAAUGUUCCUCGCGAAAUGGGUGACUCACAACCUUGUUACAACGCCACAGGCUUCCCUCUCCAGUUCAGGCGGAGGCCAUACCGCUCAUCCUCGGAGGUGGCGACGUCAUGGCGGUGAGCUCGCGCGCUUUCAUAUUUUACUCCUCCCUAAUGGCGGUCCAUCCAGACAUCUGGGUCUAACAUCCCAGCCGCUGACAGUCUCGUAACAGGCAUUUUUCCCCUCACCCGAAAUAAUAACUUAUUUUUAAAAGUUUGCACCGCCCGCGCCGUCCCUUCGUCACGCACCGGGAUAAUCACCGCCACCACGCAGGCUGCUGAGACGGGCAGCGGCAAGACCGGGGUACGUUAAAGCAAGGCUCCAGGGUGGGGUGGGGUGGGAUGAGUUCGGAUAUGCUGUUUGGAAAGCCUCGACCCUGCAUAUCUGUCAACAGCUGCCAAGCUGUUCAGCUAUCAACGUCGGGGGCAGGAGGGAAGGGAAAGGAGGGAAUUGGUAGUAACCAUGGCCUCCCCGGCUUUUACGGACACACCCGCACUUGUGUGCGGAACUUGUAACUUGUAACUUGGUAGUAACCCUAACCCUAAGGAGAACAACGGAAGCAGGCCCCAACGUGCAAUCUGCCCGUCACGGAGUCGCAGGCUAGCUAGUUCCUCUUGCGACCUAGCUCUCCUCCUUUGCCGCCACCAGGCCUUCGCCAUCCCCGUACUGCAAAUCGUUCACGAGGCCCUCCGACAGCGGGUGCGCAGCGGCGCUGCCGCCAGCUCAAGCGGCCGCGGUGGCGGCAACGCCGGCGGCGGCGUCGCCAGCCCGGCGGCGGAAUGCGUGCUGAGUACGGAGGAUCGGGAUCUGCAUCUCGCCGUGUCGUCGGACGGUUGUACGGCACAGAGUCGAUCUGAAAAGAGCUGGGGCGGCGUCCGGGCCACGAUGGGCGUGUUUGCGUCCUGCGGCGGCAAAGUCUACUAUGAGGUGGGUUAGUGUGCUCACUCCGUGUGUAUGCGCAUGUAUGUGGUGUAUGUGAUGUAUGUGCGUAUGUAUGUGUUGGCUGUCGGGGAAUCAUUGAGCCUUUAAAGCAGCCAAGCAGUCAACGGAAUCUGACAUGAUAUCAAUUAUUGCAAGUGCCUCUCCAUUUGGAUUUACGUACAUGUAUAAGACAAUGGAACUCUACCAGCGGUUGCCGAGCACCUGGGAAGAUCCGAUUUGGCAACUAACCGCCCAACCAACAACUGUCAUAACCGCUUUUCACGCACAACUGACAGGUAACCGUUAACGACGAGGGGCUGAGUCGAGUUGGUUGGAGCUGCUCAACCGCCGCCCUGGAUCUGGGCACUGACCGACUGGGGUUUGGUUUCGGAGGCACCGGCAAGAAGUCCCACCAGCGUCAGUUCGACUCGUACGGCGAGCCGUAAGUACGGAAUAAGCCACUUCGUCAUCCCAAUGCACGAUGUCAAGGAGUUCCCGAAUGCCGAAGUUCGCUCUAUCACGCAAGCCCGCGAUAAUAUCAUCAUCAUCAUCAUCAUCAUCAUCAUCAUCAUCAUCAUUAUUAUCAUCAUCAUCAUCACCAUCAUUAUUAUCAUCAUCAUCAUUGUUCCCCCCCUCGGCCCACGCACCUCUAUAACUCUCACCUCCCACAGCUUUGGCAAGGGCGACGUCAUCGGCUGCAUGCUGGACUGUACGGGAGGCGGAUCUGUGUCGUACAGUAAAAACGGGCGACAUCUGGGAGAGGCCUUUAAGCUGCCACCGCACCUUCAGAGCCAGGUUGGUCGUGUAUGUGUAAUACGUAUGUACGUAUGUAUAUGUAUGAUGUGUGGGACAGGGGGGUCAUAUCUUCACCCUGCGGCCGCUACCCUGCGAAACCCUGCCUUCCCCGGUAUUUCGGGGGGCACUCAUUCGGUCACCCUAGUCAACUUCUCAGUGGAUUGUUCAGGUUCCGCAUGUGCAUCUCUGCCCUAUCGACGGCGGCUCAACGCCAUUCCUGGUCAGCUCGCGGGUCAACUUUAUCCCAGGUUACCAUCGUCCAUCGACUAGGGGCAUUUUACCUUCACCAUCGGAAGUAUUUUCGACCCUGACAGGUCUCGAUCCCGGGAUCUCCCGGGGGCAAUGGUCGUGCCUUACCAGUAGUGCCUAACCUGCAUUGUAUGUAUGUGUGGUGAGGGUGGUUGGGGGUGGGGGUGCUUAUGCUUGCUUGCUUGCUUGAAGAGUGAAUGAAUUUAAGUGGUGGAGUUCCUCAGUGACCUCAGUGCUCCACUCAGGUCAGGGGUGCCGGGAAGGGGCUGACAAUAACCGCCCUCCCCCCCUCCCCCCUCUCCCCUAGAUCUUCCUUCCAGCCAUCUGCCUAAAGAACGCCGAAGCAACCGUCAACUUCGGAGUCACACCCUUCGCCCACCCGCCCCCACCGGGCUUCAUCGCCAUGACCAAGGCACCCGCGGCGUGGAUCGCCGCCGCCGCCAGCGCCGCCGCCGCUGCCACCUCUUCCACCGCCGCCGCCGCCGCCGCGGAUGGCAGCAAGCCCGAUUGCAUCAUUCUAGAACCCGCCAAGGAUCUCGCCGAACAAACUGCCAACUGCUUUACCGACUACGGCAAACACCUCCAUGCGCCGGCUAUCCGUACGGGAUUGUUCGUUGGGGGUGUGGAUGCCGUACCGCAAAUUCGGAUGCUUCGAGAAGGUGUGCACAUCGCCGUUGGGACUCCUGGACGAGUGAUUGACUUCGUGGAGAGCGGCAAGAUACCGUUGGAUCAGGUCUGGCAGGGGCUAGAGAUGGUUGGUGGUUAGUGGUUGGUUGUUGACAUGUGUGGGCCAAAGCUCUCCAUGCUAUUCCGACACGACGGUUACAGGGGUGUACGUGUAUGUGUGUAUGCAUGGUGGUGACAAGGGGGAAAAGGGGGGGAAAGUGUGCUGCGUAACAAAUGGCGUCGGGUAUCGUUCUGGGCUCCGUCCACAAUAGUGCUGUUGUGGUUGACACUAUCCCCCACCCCCUCUGUAAUCCUUCCACCCCCACCUCCCUCCCACCUCCCCCGCACCUCCCCCCACCUCCCCCGCACCUCCCCCCACCUCCCCCCCACCUCCCCCCCACCUCCCUCCCACCUCCCUCCCACCUCCCCCCCACCUCCCCCCCACCUCCCCCGGGACAUCGUCCUCAGGUUCGUUUCUUCGUGCUGGAUGAGGCAGACAGGUAAUGGGGGAGAGGGGGAGUGGAUGACGUGCGUGUGAACCCCCCCUUAAACCUCCUCCUUAAACUCCGAAACCUCCUGAAACCGCUACUUGCAGGCUGAUUGCUGACAACCCGGAUGUCGUCACCAAGAUCUACAACCGCCUGCCCAAGGGGGGAACGGGAGUCAAUAGACUGCAGGUGUGUAUGUAUGUAUGUGUGAUAAUAUCUCACAACCAAGGAAUGAUGGUAUCGAAAGAUACCGAUUGAGUCACUUGCACCCUAAGUCACUUGCAUAAACUGCAGUUCAGUCUUUUGCCGAUAAGCCUCCCCGGCUUUAUCCAGAUAAAGCCCGAUACCACACACAGAGGUAUGAACUUCCGCAGCAGUGCGGCAUUUAAAUGACGAACUCGACCACCAGCAGCCGCACGACGCCGACGGCUAAGUGAUAUCGGUAUGGAGUACGCCGAGGCGGAUAAUAAAUGUACAAUCGAUGGUUCCAAACACAAUGCGAAGCUGCAGAGAAUAGCUAACGCAGUAAGAGUCUAUAUGAGUCUUACCAGAAGUAGACCAGUGCACUUGUAGACCAGUGCACUGGUACAAAUCGCAGGAAAGGAUGUAGUAAUUCUCGACAUCUAUAUAGUCAUCAGCGACCACCGGAAUGAAGGGUCUGUGUUCCAAACGUGUACUGUCAAAGAGGGACCUCGUCAACGGUUCAACAUGGACGCGGGAAAGUGGCUUUAUGGUGCAGGGUGUGGCAUCAUCGGGAAUGGCGAUUUGCCGGUAAAAAGCUUCACUGCGGAGCGAAAUGACAUCUUGCAGAGGGAGGUGGCCUGUGUGAUAUUGUUGCAGGUACACCAAGGGAUUCAAAAACAUCAGAAUAUUCGUCUAUGGGUAAUUGCAGCUCAGGGCCCGAUGGGUCAAAAGCAAAAAUUGACGAGAGGUCAAUUGCAAUUUAGACUUAAUUAUAACAGGCCAUGCGGCACUUAAGGAUAAGUGGAACAGCAUCUCUUCGACCCAUUGGUUCAGGUGUCACACACUGACACAAGAGUGUGGCUACAGCGUAAUGAACUUACGGUUCUAGGUAAGCAGUGGUACUCUCUGUGCUGCAAAACCACGUGCUGUGCUAUGAUGAAAGGUGAGAAAGGUGCCUUGUGGGCAUGGGUCCCCUUGUGCAGCUGCAGAGUGCGCGCGACGCUAAACUGAAGGACGCCCCCAUACCCCCAAAUGUAGGGGACCCUAAGAAGAAGUGCGUGGCAAAAGUGCAGGCAUCUCAGGCAACAUGUGCAACGAGGGCACCGUUAAGCGCAGAUACCCUGUGGCAGCCUAGAGACGUGUAGCUAUGAAGGCUCAGUUGUCUGGACAGGUUCCUCGCCGGGGCUAUGGGCUUGGCAAAUGUGCGGCCCCGAAUGUGUAAAAUAAUUAGGCACGGAUAUGACCGCCGCUGAGAGUGUGUCCAAAGUUAUGAUGCGGCUAGUCAAAAAGCGGAGCGGUUUGGGGAUGCUGUACCCGAUAUGACCUACUCUCUAGCUCUCUAGGGCUUAGUGUAAAGGUGUAGCCCUGACAGCGCAAGGAUUACGCAUAGGUAUGCCUAAUCACAACAUCAUAAAUAAGGUUUAUGGUGGUUGCCAGCCCAAAUUAGAACGGGCGGGGAUGACAAAUUUGUCCUGGCGAGCUACUGACCUUACUGAUACGUGUGUACAAUUUUCUGUUGGGCCUUAGGCGCAACAGAAAGACGCGGCACAAGACAACCCGAUAGCCCUAGAUAGCCUCUGCUUAUCGCCCCAUUCGCGAGCGUAACAUGCGACUAGGUACAGGUUUUACUAGGCGUCAACCCAAACCGCUUCACCAGAGAGAAAUGAAGUCGUCACCUACACGAGCAGAGAACAGUGACGAUGCGGACUUGGAUAAGACGCACCUUUUCACCUGGCAGAGUAGCGGUGAAGGCGAAGUGUCAGGGGAAUCGAGGAUUGAGCGGAAUUGAGGAUUGUACCAAACAUCGAAACCCUAAGGCACAACCCAGGAAGCGGCACAGGCCGACCUUCCAGGCCCAAAAUGUUAUUAUUAACACGGAAUUGGACAACGUUCCAUCCCAUGCAAAUAUUGAUAUAAUGAUAGGUAAUAAAUUAGACUUGGCUUUACAUUAAUACAUUUAUUCAUUGGUCAUCCUUUAAACGGUAUCCAUUUUAUUGUUUUCGUAUCCAACGUGUUAUUCUUGUAUUAUGUGUAGUACCACUGGGCUUGCUUGGGAUAAUUGCAAUAUUAUUAAUAGUUAAUAAGCCUCUAGGACUUGUUGUUAUUUUAGGGAUAAUUGCUCUUGUUGGUAUGAUUGCCCGUAAUUCGGUGAUUGUCAUAAGAUCAAAUAGAAACUGAAAUUACCUACGUACGGCCUGUCUCGGUGGGAUGCUGUCGUAACUGCGACGGUUCACCGUUUUCAUCCAGUAAUUUUAACUGCUGCGGCGGCAAUAUUCUUGGAAUGACGCUUGCAGAAAAAGUUAGUUUCAUCUGCCACAACUCCAAAACGGAAAGAGAGGAGAAAGAAAAACGUAUGUCCACACAGGUCGUUAGCAGAGAGUGACCGAGAACACGGCAAAACCAGAUUACACAAAACAAACUCCCUCAUCGCAGCACGAGCAUCAAAGGACAGUUUUCGUCCAAUAACUCGUUCAGCCUAACCGCUAAGACCUAGGGCAACAGUGCCAUAGGACCUGCCUAGCAGAAAACAGCGAAAACUCGUUCCCUAAGUCAAACUCAAGCAGAGUCCCGUCCACAGGGGCCUGGGCAGCGCCCUACUUCUGGUUGGGCCACAACAGGCAGGUCACCAUCGGAGGCCCAUCUCCACAAUGCAGACUCUUCUUUCGCUUUCACCAAUCAUCUAGCUCCGCCCGAGUACAAUGUUAUUUUUAUCACACGUCACUGAUCUUCUUCGUUUCGUUUGCCCUGAUCUGACCCGGCUGAUUCCUGGCCCCAGUAAUGGAAGGUCAUGGGCGCCUCCAUCUUUUAUAUAAAUUGUAUAUUGGGUCUAGUAUAACUAGGAUGUUUCUUCUGCCAUCAGCAAUGGCCCCGGCGACCCCCCCCCCCCAAGGCUUACCGGCAUCUGAAGCGUCAUCAGUGCCGCCCACCUUACACCCAAAACGUUCCGCAGCGAUGAUGGCACCACGAUGAUAGAGGGGUGCCCCAGCAGGGGUGCCCCAGCACCGGGUCCAGCUCUGGGGUAUGCGAAAGGAGGGCAUUAGCAAUAGGGAGCAGAAGGAAAGGCUUGCAAGAAGGCGCAUUUGAGUACCCAGAGUGUAACGUGACAGAUGGCUGUAUUGAGGGGGUGCAUGGCAUACCCAAAAAAUCUUGGUAUCACACUUCCGAACAAAUUCCUGGGAAAGACCGCGUUAGAAACAGGAAACCCUACCUCAAUUCAGAAACCCACAAAAGGUGUGAUAAUUGCCGCAAAACACGACUGAUAAGCCAGGACGUUUUCAACAGAUGUGAUAGUACCUACUAGCGAGAAUGGUGCGUGCUUCCAUGUCGCGGGCAAAGCCUCAGGAGGGAGUUGGAUGACUAGUGCAAUGAACAGUUUGUCGGACGUGAAGGAGGAUCAUCGUGCCAUGGACCACUGAUCAUACCAAGCCUUCAUCAUACCAUAACCAUACCAUGAACAGACAGCGCGCUGGCUCCUGACCUCCCCCCUCAGGAUUGAGGGGGAACAUCUCCAAACGUCCCGACCCGAAACACGGAAUCAGGCAAGUAGGGCAAGGUAACCCUACCGAAAAUUAAACCUCCUCAGCGCAGUUAUGCAACGCUUCGAGAGAGCGCAAAGCGCCACGGGAGCGGCGAACAAGCUCACGCAAUCGCAGGAUCGCGGGAGGAGUAGGGGCAACAGUGUUUACCGCAACGAGAGGGCCUGCAAAUCUAGAAAACGUUGAAAUGCAGCUCAAAAUAACAGAAUAAAAUGAAAGACGAGACGGACUACCAACCCAUGGUCACUGCGGCAGCCAUCACCGCAAUGCCGAGGUCCGCAGCGAAAGAGUAGCUAAGGGACCGAGAUCUUCAAAGUUAGAUGAAUCCGCCAUAGCCGAAGUAGGGUCCAUUCUCCCGUAAGAGCUGGGUAAUCGCGGAAGCGGGAUUGAGACUGGUCCGUAAGGAACCUGUCUGGACACCAAACUUGUAGCAUCAUACAACUACAGAAUGGUGGCUUCAAAAGAAUACGAUUGAGACAAGUGGCUUGAAUGCUUGGGCCGCAGACCGAUAAAUCCCCCAGUACGACUGGGCGGCGUGAUCUUCGGAUGACCGUAAACCAUACUUUCGAUUGGUUGAGCAGACGAACCAGGGACGCAGGUCCCACCUUUAUCCAGAUAAAGCCCGAUACUAUACACAGGUAUGGACUUCUGUAGCUGUGCGGCAUUUCAAUGACGAACUCGACCAGCAUUAGUCGCAAGUCGUCGGCUAAGUAAUAUCAGUAUUAAGUAAACCCGAAUUCAUAAUCAGCAAAUAUAAAGAAACUUUAGUUAAUUACAUCAGUGUUUAAGUAAACCGAACUGGACGAACCUACAUUCGACAGUUAGCCCAUAGAGCCGCAAGCUCUGCAGAAAGCUUUCAGUAUACAACAGUAUAUGUCUGUAUGCAUGUAUGUAUUAUGUUUGUAUGUGUGUAUCAUGUAUGAAUGUAUUAUGUACUAUAUUUUAUGUACGUAUUAUGUAGUAUGUGUGUAUGCGCACUGGGGGCUUACUGUUGUCACGAUGGUUGAGGGGCGAGUUAAGGCGGGGGGGAGAGAGGGAGGGAGGGAGGGAGGGCAGGGUGGAAGGGCAACAAUCCUACCUUGGGCCCAUCAGGAGAUGCUACUCCUCCGACCCCUCAACCCCACAGUACCCAUGCCUUCCCCCCCCAACCCUCCAUACACACCCCUCCCCACCCCCUCAACCCCCUCGCCGUACAAUCCGCAACCCCUCCUCCCCCCCCCAACCCCCCGACCUGCUAAGGUGCUCCUCUUCAGCGCCACCCUCCACAGCACCGAGGUGAAGGACAUGGCCGCCAAGAUCUGUGUGAACCCCAUCUUGGUGGAUUUGAAGGGGAAGGAUGCCGUACCGGAGACCGUUGACCACGUCCUGGUGAGUUUGUGCGGAGGGAGGGAGCGGUUAGAGUGGUUAGGGGAGUUGGUUGGUGGCAUGUUCUUGGUGGUGUACAUAUGUGUUUACCGCUCAAAACAUUAUUAAGUGUUUGUCACAUCUUCUUGCAUCACGUGGUGGUUACUCCGAAACCACCAUGUAUCAAUACAAUGCCGCCAUCCAGCGCUGGGAUGCGUUUUACAUGUAUGUUUGUAUGUGUAUGGGCGGCACACCCCGCUACCUCUUACCUCCUGGCUGUAUCGUAUUGCACGUCCUACGUCGUACCACAAACUCAACACUCCCCCAAUACCUCAAUCCACCCCCACCCCCACCCCCAACCUUCAAUCCUCGUACCCCAAGGUUCGUGUCAACCCCGCGGAGGACCGCAGCUGGCUGCAGAGCAAACCCGAGGUGUGUGUGUUUGUAUGUGUGUAUGUAUGUAUGCUUGUUCCGUAUGUUUUCUCUUGUUUCGCUACUCUUAUACAUUACAUUACUACUCUUGUAUUAUAUUAUAUUAUGUUAUAUUAUAUUAUGUUAUAUUAUAUUAUAUUAUAUUAUAUUAUAUUAUAUUAUAUUAUGUUAUAUUAUAUUAUAUUAUAUUUAUAUUUAUAUUAUAUUAUAUUUAUAUUUUUAUAUUUAUAUUUAUAUUUAUAUUUAUAUUAUAAUUAUAGUAUAUUAUAUUAAUAAUAAUAAUCGCCUCCUUCCGCAGGUGUUUACCGACGGCUGUCACGCCGUGGACUGCAUAGGGCCCAGCACCGCCACCACUCGCGAGUGCCUCUCCGAAGCCACAAAACGACUGAAGCAGCGGCUGCUACAGCGCCUCAUUGACACACUCCGCAUGGAGCAGUGCCUGAUCUUCUGUCGUACAAAUUACGACUGCGAUCAGCUGGAGCGCUUUUUGAACAGCCUGGGGGGAGCCGGGGGUGGUGGCGGGGGUGAGGGCGGGUUUCGUGGCAAGAUGGAGAGCGGCAAGGAGAAUCCGUACAGCUGUGUCGUACUGGCUGGGGCGAGAAGGUAAUAUCGGGCUUGAGGCAGGCGGGAAGGCGAGGGGGAGAUAAAGACGAUGGUUAUUGUGUUGGCAGUUGGCAGUUAGCAGUUGGUGGUGCUUGGAAACCAACAACAGUCGGCGGUUGUCCCGUUACCUUUCCUUACGCUCUUGCAAGUGAUUAGCCCCCACCCGCAUUCCAAUCUUUACUCCACUUCCCGGGGUAUUCCUCCCCCUCUUCCCAGCAGCUUCACUCGUUUGUGGUUCGUCUUUCCCCUCUUUACCUCCUCCGCCCUCCCCCACCCCCCCCGGGGGUUGUUCUUGCAUAUGACCUCCCCACCUCCCCACCUCCCCACCUCCCCAUCUCCCCACCUCCCCACCUCCCCACCUCCCCACCUCCCCACCUCCCCACCUCCCCACCUCCCCACCUCCCCACCUCCCCACCUCCCGGGCAGUAUGGACGAGCGCCGUGCUGCGUUAUCCGCCUUCAAGGACGGUGACGUGCGCUUCCUCAUUUGUACGGACGUGGCGGCCCGGGGUAUUGACAUCAAGGAGCUGCCGUACGUUAUCAACAUGACGCUGCCGGACAAGAGCGAGGAUUACAUUCACAGGGUAUGUGCCCACACGUGUGCGGGGUGGGUGAGGAGGUUAUUGUGUAUUUGUAUGUGUGUGUGCGGUAAGGUUUUUGGUGCCGUUACGAUUUGGGUGCGCCGGGGGGUUGCCAGUGGGGAUUUGAAUUAGGGGGGAGGGGAGGCACCGACUGGCUGAGUGGGGCACCGGCUGAAACCCGUAACGCCAACAACCUUUAAACUGCCAACGCAAAGACAUCCGGAUGUAUUGCCUGACACGGACAUCACAUGAUAAAUGCUCCGGAACCCCCAUCCGCACUCAUCCUCCCCGCAGAUCGGUCGCGUGGGGCGUGCUGAUACGAUGGGUCUGGCGAUCAGCCUGGUUUCGGAGGUUCCCGAGAAGGUGUGGUACUGCAGCGUCAAGGGACUCAAGCCCUGGCUGGCGCCCGACGCGUCCAAUACAAAAACCACGGACAAGGGUGGACACACUAUUUGGUGGGUGCGGCGAAGGGGGGAGGGGAGGGGAGGGGAGGGGAGGGGGAAGGAGGGAGGGGAGGGGAGGGGGAAGGAGGGAGGGGAGCGGGAGGGAGGGAGGGGGAAGGAGGGGAGAAACGGAAGGGGGAGGGGAGGCGAAGGAGCACAGCCCAGCUACUGCAGGCGGGUUGGAUGGCGUUGGCGGUGUUGGGGUCGCGGGGGGGUGGGGUGGGAAAACUAGGGGCUUAGCUGGGACCGGUGAGCCGGACACGUGUGUGUGUGUGUGUGUGUGUGUGUGUGUGUGUGUGUAUUUGUGCGCAACCCAUCCCUCGACCCCACCAUUCCUACACCCCCGUAUUGGGGACGACCACAACCAUGCUGCAUAUUGCAUCGUAUGAUUUCCCCUCACCCCCCACCAACCCCCUACCCAACCCCCACUCAACCCCCACCCACACAAACACACUGACGGCGUGCUUUCACUCUUCCUUUCCUUUCCUUUGCAGCUUUCAUAUCAGGUUCCAUCUCUCGCGUUCUCGUCGGCGCCGUACCGACUUAAAUGCCGUAUUCCGUACCAUCCCAACCCUACUGUCCUACUGCUCGUCCCGUACAUGUACGAUGCAGGUACGACGAGAAGGCCCUCCUAGGGGCCAUUGAAACUCGUCUGGGUCGUUCCAUCCCCUCUAUGAGUGAGGACCUAAGCCUGCCUGCCGAGCUGGCGGAGCGGCUGGCGGCUGGGGGUGACAAGUAUGGGCAACAGCGUGGCGGCGGUGUGAGCCAGGAGGUACGGGCCAGGCCAGGUUGGGUUUGUCUGUUUGUUUGUUUGUUUAUCGCGGGCUCUUUUGGGGUGGUUUUGGGUUUUAGAUGAGGUGGUUUUGGGUUUUUGACGUGUAGGGAUAUGGGUUGUAUCCCUGUAUAUGGUGUUGUAUCCCUCGUGCCAUACACGUCUCUAGGCCGCCUUCUGGCGCACGGGGGGGGGGGUUGAGUGGGGGGAGUUUUGAGUGGGGAGUUUGAAUGGUCCAGAAUGUAAUGCGAAAAAGCGCGUUUCUACUAAUCUUCCUGUUGCCGUGCUGUUGCUAUGCUCCUGCUAUCGUUGUUUAAGUUGUUGUUGCUGCUGCUGCUGUUGUUGUUGCUGCUGCACAGGUGACUGCGCACUUGGAGCAAAUUGCGCAGAACGUCCAGCAUCUGGCGUCCUUGGAAUGGCACGUGCAAACGAGCUUCCUGCGCUUGAAGCAGCGGUGGCAGUCGGCCCAAGGUUGAGGAGGCGAAGGCGGCGCAGCUAAGGGCUCCAACGCUGAGGAGGUUGACGAAGGCUCGGGACUGCACAACGGACUAAUAGGCUAGUAAUCUUUUUGCUUGUUUCAGUUCCCAGUUCUUUGUGGGAGGAUGAAGGAUAUGGGGGGUAUGGUUGUUGCUAAAAACAUAAAGGAUGUGUGUAUGGAACGGCGAAUUUGUGCCAACGAGUUGUAGGAAAUCCCUGGAAGUUUGAGCGUCGUUUAAUUGCAGGGUGAGUUCGUGGAUGUCGUGCGAAAAAUGUUGGCUUAAUUGAAGCAGUUUUGAAGGAUAUGCUAAAAGGGCCACCUUGGCAGCUUGAAUCAACGAAUGGGGUGGCUUGGCCCGUGCUGCUUGCGGGUAAACUUGGAUUUUACGACCACUCUCGCCCAGAAAGUUUCUGAACGUUUCCAAUAGAGCGCAUUAAUACAAUCGGAAUGUUGCCUAAAUUGACACCUUGUAAGGUUAAUUUGCGCAGUUAAGUGACGUACCACUUUCGUACCACAAAUGUGGGUUUCCCUGAUGCAGCUGGGUUGCAGAUGGAGUCGAUCGGUCCAGACAAUAGUACCUGAACGCAGGCCCAUACACGAGACAAUCGACUCGCAGGCGGUCCGCCAUAAGCGGUCGCCGGAGUUGUCACCUUUACGCCUGAGCGAUUUAUAUGACAACUUCUUUGCUGCCGUAAUAAUUAGUACUUGUUAUUUAUAGGUGACAUCCCUUGGUUUCACUGCUGAACUUUGCCUACUGGAACACGGUACAGAAUGUUGAAAUUGAAGCAACCUGUUUCUUGCCGUCUCAAUCAGCGCUGCACGACAGUGCUUCCACGUGCAGCACACAGAAGAACGUUGACCUGUCGAGCAAUGCUGCCUCUGGGAGUGCCAAUCAGUGUGCUGAGUGAUAGCUACAAGGCUACGCACUUUCUGCAGUACCCAAAGGCGCAUAAGAUGGUUGCGGUGAGUUGUCUGCCUUUAAAAGUUAUGCCGCCGAGGGCAGGCUUGUUGAUGGAAGCUUAUGACACCAUUCGCACGUCUCCUUCGGUGCAGUAUGGUGAGUUUCGCCAGGGGUUCAAUAAAGACAAGGCAGACACGCGCAUGGUGUCAUACGGCAUCCGUUACCUGGUUGAGAAUUAUGUUGCGAAGCCCUGGACAAUGGAGGACGUCGAGAUGGCUGAGGCGUUCUACAGGUACGCCGCCAGUGAGCCGAACUAAGGGAAACCUUGCAGUUGAAAACCUCAAGCAAAAAAUUAUCAAACCCUCGCAGAACACAUAUGUCACCGGGCUACACACCGUUCCCCUUCCCUCGUCCACUCUUUGAGAAAUUCAUUCGAGAGAACAACGGUGAGUUCCUGCACCUGCUGCUUGGCCAAAUCGCGCGGCCGCAUGCACUCCUCGUCCUGCACCUUCCACCUCAUGGAAACUCCAGGCCAGCAGCAAUCCAUGCCUAGCGCAAAAGGGCCACGCCGGCUGGACAUCGUCCCUGGAACGGCGAUUUGUGCUGACCUGCAGAGGCCGGUUUUCCGCGCUUUCCGACCACCCACACCCUUCAGACGGUCUCUGCGCCACUUGGCCCAACCUUCCGGGUUUUCCAGGGCCCAGUUAAGCGGGCUCCCCCCCCCCCCGACCACCCCAAGGAUCUGCUGCCGGCGGCCCGCAGUCGAGAGGGCGACCUAACCUUACCAGCUGCGCCCCCUCAGACGCCCUUCUCCUCAGCCACACGUGAUUACCCGCCGCCACGUCCUGUGUGCCGAGCAGGUUACUUCCCUGUGAAGCUGGAGGCGCUGCCCGAGGGCACUUGCAUCCACGCCCGCGUCCCGGUGUACCAGGUGCGUGUGAGACCCCUGGCCCCCCGGGGGCCUGGGAGGGGUGGUAGAUAUUCGAUCCUGGUGAUGACGCUGGUGAGGGUGAGGGUGAUGCUGCUGCUGAUGAUGGUGGUGGAAGUGGUGUUGAUUUUGCAAAAUUGGAAACGUGCUUGUCAUGCUCAGACAAUACGCUCCAGGCUUAGCAGUUGUAAGGCAAUUUUACAGGCUAAGCAGUUUACCAGUGGCCACUAAGCCCCACUCAUUCCGGAGCAUAGAGAAGAGGGGCUGCGCGGUGUUGCGCACUGCCCGGGGGGGUUACUGUGCAAAGCAUGGGGUGGGAGGGUGGGGGGAGCGGGGAGGAUAUCGGGGGGGGUGGGGGGGGAGGACUGACGGAGGGUGACACGGUUUGACACGCCGGUGUUUCGCGGCGUGGGUUGGUCCCGGGGAGUGAGCAUGUACAGGUACGGCAACAGCGUCAGAUUGCAGCACCGGCUCGCUGUGUGUGCACGUUGUUGUUGUGUUUUGGGGUCCUUCCUCCCCCCCGCUGUUCUUCUGUUGCGUUGCCUUCCUGGGCCGAGAAGCAGUAAAGGAGCGCCGUAAUCUUAGAGAUUAUGUCUGGGCUUUUCGUUUGGGUCCUGACCUGGGUUCGAUUCCUGCUGGGAGCGCAAGCGGCAGCAGUAGCAGGAGGAGGAGGAGGAGGGAGCAGCCAGUUCGAAGCGGCGGGACUGCGCCAGAUUCCCAGGGGCAUGCCGAAUUACAUGCGGCACGGGUGCAUGGGGCGUUUUGGCAUAUAGGGCCCCCCGCUGCCGACGGAUGCACGCUGCAUGACUGGCUGGUCGUUGACAUCAUCAUUGACAUUGACAUUGCCACAGUCAGUGGGCAUGGGAACAGGACGCAGCGCACGAGGUAUCGGCAAGGAACUGGGAUUUGGCGGAAAGAGGGAAAGCAGGGGAAAGCAUAUGUCAGCUCAGUAUGUAUGUCCUUAGCUCCACUCUCAUUGCUGUCGUUGCCUCAGACAUCUCCCCCCUACAUACCACUCACCCCCCCGCCCUUUACUUCCGGAACCACCGGGGGGGGUUGUCGAUGAUGGCAUCACAUGACCGCCUAGGACGCACUCAGACUCCCUGGGGGCAGUUUCGGGCAACUCCUGGACGCCUUCCGGCAGGCUGGCAGUUCAUUUCUGAGUUCCCCCUGCAUCACGUCAUCUUUAACCCCCCUCCCUUCCCCCCCCCACCACCACCACCACACCACCACCACCCUUACUCCCCCCUCCCAUCCCUUGGCAGCAGCUUCACUCCUUCGUGGUUCCCCUUUCCCCCCUCCCCUUCCCCCCUCCCCUUCCCCCCCUCUAACCCAGAUCACCGCCACCGGCGAGUACAGUCCCCUCUGCACCUUUUUGGAGACGUUGCUGACCAUGAUCUGGUACCCCACCACCGUGGCGACCCUGUCACGGAAGGCGCGGGAUGUGGUAGAGGUGUCCUUCGGACGCACCAGCGACGGCGGCCCCACCAGCAGGCUGGUGGAGAGCAGGCUGGUGGAUUUCGGGUUUCGGGGCUGCACGUCCGUGGAGCAGUCCAUCAUUGGCGGCUGUGCGCACCUCCUCAGCUUCAACUCCUCGGAUACCAUGUCCGCAGCGUUUUAUGCACAGGUGGGUGUGUGCCACUGUGUGUGGGUUGGGUGGGUGGGAGGUGGAGGGGUGGAUGUGUGUGUGUGUGCGGCAGGGCGGGGCGGGGGAUGGGCGCGUGUAUGUAUGUAUGUAUGUAUGUAUGUAUGUAUGUAUGUAUGUGUGUAUGUAUGUGUGUAUGUAUGUAUGCGUGUCUUAAUGAUCUUCGAAGCCGCUCGAUAUGUGGGGGAAAUGCCCAAUAUGGUGGUAACUGGAGAUUAACUUUAUAUACCUUAGCGAGCCCCCGCGACUAAGUGUCACCAGGGACAUGUUUCGGACUUUCCAAUGAAGCUGUGCAUGACGGGCGGGGCUGCUGGAAUGCAAGUUGUAUCAUAGAUGUCAAGAGCACGUAGAAAUACGCCGAGGAGGCGCCGUAGUGGCGAAGGGCGGCACACACUGUGUUUGUGGUGGGGGUGGGGGUGAAGGAAGAGGCGAGCCCCCGGGAGAUGUCCAGGAUUUCCCUCGAUCCUCCUGAUGCGUUACGAGAAAAACCCCUAAGGGAUUUCCCCCUACCCCCCCACCCCACCCCGAGUGCGCUACAUAUCCGGUGAAGUCGAUGGGGGGCUGUGAAUGCGGGAGGAUAGGAAGGAAGCGGGUCGGUUGCAGAAAGGAUAGGUGGCUUUUACCGUACUCGGACGGAUCCCUACCGGUACGGCACAGGCUCCCCCACGGGAGAAGGGUAUGUCAUAUGUACGACAUGUCAGCGUAUAACCGCCGUCAGCGCGGCGAAGGGAAUGCCGCUGCUGCUGCCGCUAUUUUGAAACGCCUGUUCCUUGGUUUGGCCCCCCUGCACAGUUCAAGCUGAAUGGUGGGCGACCCGUGGGUCAGUCCAUUCCCGCCACGGAGCACAGCGUCAUGACGUCAUGGCCCACUGAAGCGGCUGCGAUGACCAACAUGAUUGACAACUUUGGCACUGGGAUAUACGCUUGCGUCAUGGACAGCUACGACUAUUGCAAGGUGUGUGUGUGGGGGGGGGGGGGCCCGGGGCAGGUUCCCGAAUUUCCGCGAGAUGAUUUCCCCUUCCCCCCCCGCCGCCGCCGCCGCCCGGGUAUAGCGGGAGUAAUGGGUGAGGGGAACAGGGCGCACGGGUCAGGGUUAUGUAAAUGGGGCUGUGUGACGGUGGGUGGGAAGCUCUGGGUGGGUGAUUGUCGAUUGUGGAUUGCCGGCCCGGGGGAGGGGCAGUAGGUGGGUCGGGGGCGGGUAAAGGGCGGGUAAAGGGCGGUGGAUGUAGUUGAGGGGGAGGAAUGGUUGGACGGGUAAUAGCAGGGCUACAUGUAAAGAGUUGGGUUCUGUUAGUGCGGGGGGAGGUGAGGGGGUUGCGGUAAGGCGGCGGCGAAGAAGCAGCAUCCCACCGGUGUUAAAAAAAGAGGUGGUUAACCUUCGUCGCCACCACCACCUUCACACCCUAAACCUUUCCCCCCCUCUCCCCCACACCGCCUUUUCCCCUCCCUCCCCUCCCUCCCCUCCCCUUCCCUCCCUUCCCUUCCCCUCCCCUCCCCUCCCUUCCCAGGCUCUGUCCGAGGUCCUUCCUUCCGUGGCCGCACACAAGGUGUCGCGAGGGGGGUACCUGGUGCUGAGACCUGACAGCGGCGACCCCACGGAGGCCGUGCUGAUGGUGUGUGUGGGGGUGUAUGGGAGUGUAUGGGGGGUUAGGGUGGUCCCAGAGGGUGUGGGGGUGUGGGGGCCCCGGAGAGUGGGAGUGGGUGUCAGGUUAAAAAAUGUGGGAGGAGGUGGAGGUGGGGAGGAAAGGGAGGGGAGGAGGUGGAUACCGGCGGUGUCUAAGAGGGUGUCAGGAGGGGACGAGUAGCGGCAGGGGGAGGGGGACUAAGAGAGGCAAACCUGGCCACACACACACGCACACACACGCACACACACUCCGCCUCUUUACCCCCCCCCCCCCUCGCAGGCCCUAAACGCCGCUGACAAGGUGUUCGGCAGUGUCCGCAACAGCAAGGGCUUCCGGGUCAUCCAGGGCUGUGGGGUAAUUCAGGGGGACGGUAUCGACCUGACGACUAUGGAGAAGAUAUCGGUGGUAAGGGGGGAGGGAGGUGAGGGAGGGAGGGGGGGCGAUGCAGGCUGUGUGUAAGCAACAAGGAGGUGAAGGAGGCGGUCUCCGGGAUCUUCAAGGUUUUGGGAAGUGUUGGGCUGGGGGAGGNNNNNNNNNNNNNNNNNNNNNNNNNNNNNNNNNNNNNNNNNNNNNNNNNNNNNNNNNNNNNNNNNNNNNNNNNNNNNNNNNNNNNNNNNNNNNNNNNNNNNNNNNNNNNNNNNNNNNNNNNNNNNNNNNNNNNNNNNNNNNNNNNNNNNNNNNNNNNNNNNNNNNNNNNNNNNNNNNNNNNNNNNNNNNNNNNNNNNNNNNNNNNNNNNNNNNNNNNNNNNNNNNNNNNNNNNNNNNNNNNNNNNNNNNNNNNNNNNNNNNNNNNNNCAAUCCUACGACCCCCAGGCUAUCGAAGAGGCUGGCUUUGCGGCUGACAAUGUGUCGUACGGCAUGGGCGGCGGCCUGCUCCAAAAGGUCAACCGGGACACCAUGUCCUUCGCCACCAAGCUGUGUCACAUCGUGUAUGAGGACGGCCGGCCCGCGGACAUCAUGAAGCAGCCGCAGACGGACACGGGCAAAUUCUCCCUUCCUGGUGAGAGCCCCGGGGGGGCGGGGGGGCGGGGCUGCUACGGUACGGAGGGGAGUGUAUGGCGGCGGGAGGAGGACGGUAGUGGUGGUGGUGGUGGUGGUGGUGGUGGUGGUGGAGACAUGGCAGCUUGGGAAGGGUGAGGGAAUGUUAGGGAAAGGAUGUGAAAGGGGGGAAGGUGGCGGGGGGAGGGAGGGGGGACAGGGUUUACUUGUGCGGCACCCUGCUACCUGAGGGUGCGCUGUGUACUCCCCUCGGCCGGCCACAGGCCAGGUGCCCCCCCCCCUCAGAGCGCUCUCUCAGCCGUACGGGGCUCCUCAGGUGGCCCUCCUCGCAUGGGGAGCUUGGGAGUGUUGUCCGCCUGGGCGUGAUGGGGCAGGUACCUGCGCCUUCCCGUUUCCCCCCCCCCCCCAAGAUUCCAAAAAAGAUUCUUCCAAGCCCACCCAACCUUUCGCUCCUCUUCUCCCUCUUGCUCUCUCUCUCUCUCUUUUUCUCUCCUCCUCCUUCCGCCUCCCCCAUUCAAUGGGGGAGCCCCUUAAUCCAAAUCCUAAUCCAAAUCUCCAAAUCCAAAUCCUCACUCGCCGUCUCUCGCCGCCGUCUCAGGUAUCCUGGCAGUCAAACGAGUGAAUGGCGUCCCCACGGUUUUCCCCGCCGACACGGCCGAAGUUGCACCCCAUGAGAACUUGCUGCGGGUUGUGUACGACAAAGGCCCGUUGGAGGGGGUGUGGGACGACUUUGACACGGUGCGCGCGCGCGUGGCGGCGGAGUGGAUGGCAUUGCCUCGCAGCGCCGACAACAUCAGCAGUUCGUUGAGGGAGAAAGUGCGGCAACAGAUGGCGCUGAGGGGCAAGGUGCCGGCAAUCGCGCGCUGAGGCGAAGAUCUGUACGACCUGAUCUGUACGAGCUAAGCUGUGAUCGGACCUAGAAUGCAAAAAGCUCCGAUGGAGAUGCGAUGUUGUGCAUUUGGGGGGUAUGGGGUGGGGGUAGCCUGGAAAGAUACAUGGGGUUGUGUGAGGUGGCGCGCGUGUGUGUGUGUGUGGAGGGUAUGUGUGGGGUGGGACGGGGGGUUUGGUGCUCCGGGGGGGGUGCGGGGUGCAAUAAAGGAUGUAGAGGUCCCCAGUACUCAACUCAAGUGAUGAGAACGCGAACACUAGGCGCUUUACCUCCGUCCACGUGCGCGGACGCGAAUACACACCCUCCGUGUCAGCCAGUCUGUCUGUCUGUGUCUGUCGGUCAGUCAGUCGGUCAGUCCGUCAGUCAGUCCUAGUGGGGAUCGAGUGGGGGUUUGUCCCCCGGUGUGCGUGUGUGUGUGUGUAUGUGUGCACACGGAGGUGGAGACGGAGGCGGACACGGCCGCAUAUCGGCCGUUGCCGUUGCAAAACAGGCCACAAAAGCGACCUGUCGGUGGAAGAGCGAUUGAGGGAUGUGGAAUUGGGUGGUUUGGGGGGGGGGACGAGCUAGGGGGCCACCCCAGCAGCGGCGAGCUAGGGCCUGCCGGCUUUCCACAGAGCGCCGGUGGAGCGGCCCACCCUGGUGUCGCUGCUGACGCCGCCGACUGUCGUACAAUCAGGGGUUGGAAAUCGCGCUUCCUCUGGUGGAGGGGGGGGGGAGGAGGGGGAGGGGGGGCUGGUUGUGCCGUGUAUUGAUGGCUGUGUGUGUUUUGGUAGAGGACCAACCGCGAGGUGGAGAGGUGGCUGCGUGCGCGUGUGGUGGAGGUGAACGGGAGUUAAUGCAGGUUGGCGGUGGUGAUGACGAUGAUGAUGAUGAGGAGGAGGGUGGCGUCCGGCGUCGGGGUCUGGUUUCGGCGCUGGAGUGUAAAAUGGGGUUGCCGGUUGGGGUUUGCCGGCUUGCGUGCGGUGCGAUGUGUUUGCGUGCUCGCAUACGUAUGCGUAUAUGUGUAUUGUGCGUCCAUGUAUGAGCAGCAGCGAGAAGGAACUGGCGAGGAUGGCGAUGGUUAAUAUGUAUGCAUGUACGUAUUACGUAGUAUGUAUGUAUGUACACUAAUCAUUCAAGGGUGUGGAGGGAUAGAAAGAGAGAGAGGGAGAGAGAUAGAGGGGGGUGAGGUUUUGGUUUUGCCUUGACCACGUUUGCAUUUGCGUGUGAUGGGGGGGAUGGGUACAGACCACACGUAUAUGAUGUAUAGAAGUGGGCGGCACAAUGCUAUGCUAACUUGGAAAUGGCCGAGCGGCACCGUGCAGGUGGUAGGCGCUCAUUGUCCGCCGUCGCGGAUACACACACAGACACACACACGCACACACACACACACACACGAACGGGAACGCCCCGCCUAAUGUGAAGAGUGCUUCGGCGGUUUCACCAAAAGAGGGGGCCCAGGUGGCUUCCCCCGGUCGUAGAGGGCCAGUGAGACAUGUAACAAUUACACAAACACACACAUACACACACGUGUAUUAAAUCCACUACCCCUCUGCAACACGGCGCAAGGGCACGUUGUUCCUUUCUAUUUCUCGCCUACUGUUGUGGUCUGUGCAAGUAGUGCGUGGUCUGUGAAGCAAACGGCAGCGCAGGUGGCUUUCGCGUACGGCAAAAGCACACACGGAGAACAAAACAGACCAGCACAGGAUUUUAAAUUUUGGUGACAGGAUGGUUGAUUUUGGCGGCCGACCCUGCCGAUCCCGCCUCCCGCGGACAAGCGGGGGAGAGCACACGUGGGGAAAACCCGGAUCGACGAAUUCCGCCACAGAAUAUUCUCAGACCACACAUUUGUAUUUACACGCGUGUAUUUGCGUGCGUCAAAAAAAUUGCAACGUCCAACCGGGGCCCCCCACCCAUGUUGCUAGGUAUAUAUACCCUCACCCUUUUCCGUAUUGACAAGGAAUUGCACAUCCAGCCUUUCCUGGUGAUGGUGAUGGUGAUGGUGACGGUGAUGGGGAUGGGGAUGCAUCCUUGGGGGUGAUCGAGGACUCGCG